AAAGCGUGCGCAGGCGGUUAUGUAAGACAGUUGUGAAAUCCCCGGGCUCAACCUGGGAACCGCAUCUGUGACUGCAUAGCUAGAGUACGGUAGAGGGGGAUGGAAUUCCGCGUGUAGCAGUGAAAUGCGUAGAUAUGCGGAGGAACACCGAUGGCGAAGGCAAUCCCCUGGACCUGUACUGACGCUCAUGCACGAAAGCGUGGGGAGCAAACAGGAUUAGAUACCCCGGU
rnacentral:rRNA from 1 species